GAGGGUAUAGCUCAGUGGUAGAGUGCAUGCUUAGCAUGCACCGGGACCUAGGUUCAAUCCCCAGCAUCUCCG
rnacentral:tRNA from 1 species